rnacentral:lncRNA from 1 species
AGAGGUGUUUGUCCAGUUAAAUCCUCUAUUUCUCUGCUUUUUUUUUUUAAGAUCUAUUUAUUUUAUGUAUAUGAGUACACUAUAGCUAUUAGCAGACACACCAGAAGAGGGCAUCGGAUCCCAUUACAGAUGGUUGUGAGCCACCAUGUGAUUGCUGGGAAUUGAAUUCAGAAACUCUGGAAGAGGUCAGUCAGUGUUCUUAACCGCUGAAUCAUCUCUCCAGCCCCGACAUCCUACAUUUCAGCAGCCAGACUUUACAGUAGCAGCUCAGGGCCUCAGCUCACACAGCUGAUGUUGUCUCUCAUUUGCUCCUCAGCUCCUGCUUCAAUGGCGGCACGUGUGUUGAUGGAAUCAACUCUUUCUCUUGCUUGUGCCCCGUGGGUUUCACUGGUCCCUUCUGCCUCCAUGAUAUCAAUGAGUGCAGCUCUAACCCGUGCCUGAAUGCUGGAACGUGUGUUGAUGGUCUGGGUACCUACCGAUGCAUCUGUCCCUUGGGCUACACCGGGAAAAACUGUCAGGUAAUCAGCCUCCCUCCCGUUCACCCGCUCACCUGGCUCCCCACAGUAGCCGAGGACUCUGUCUAGUUUCCAGGUGGGGUGAACCAUUUGAGAAGAGAGAACAGCAUCUCAGGUGGUCCCUGAGGUGGCUGGGUCACCUUCUUGAUAGCUAGAAGAGUCCAGACUGGUGACACCAGCAAUGCCAUAUGGGCUAACAAGCUUCUGUGGAAACUGUGACUGACAGUGAGCACGUACACACCUUCACAGUGCAUAUGCAGGAAGAAUGGAUGUGAGCUUUUCAUUGCUAACCUAAAAAACAAAACAACAGCAACUUAAUAGGAGGUUGGUUUGGGUUUGUGGUUUUAGAGAUUUUAGGCUUCACUGGCUUCUUUUGUUUAUGGACCUGAGACAAGAGUAAGUGUCAUUGGGACAGAGCCGGUGUAGAACUCUUCAUGGUGGCCUGAAGCAGAGAGGGACAGGAGAAGAGGAGGGGGAGGGAAGGGAAAAGACAAAGGAAGAGAGGGAGAGAGGAGGCAGGACAGACAGAUGAGGUAGGGAAAGCCAAGAACGAGAUGUAGCUCCCCCAGACAUGUACCCAGUGAGCCCUGUUUCCAGCUGGCAUUUCCUCUAGUUCUCAGAAUUGUUCAGAAGUAAUACCAUCUUUGAGAACUAAACCACUAGUGCACGAGCCUCUGAGGACAUUUCAUAUUCAAACACAGGACAGAACAAUCGAAGUCAAAUCAGUAAAUACCAGGGAGAGCCACCAGGGUACUGCUUUACAGUGUUAUAACAUAGCCAUCACCAAACUGUGUAUUCUUAAAACUCAAAUAUAGAAAUAUGAAUCUGUUAUAAUCUUAGGAUGGAAGAAGCCAUCAUAGGAAACUGACUUUCAAUUCAUGGAGGAGAAACAGCCUCCACCUUGUCCCCAGAAAGGAUAGUUUUUAAACUAUCCAAGGUCACAUACAAAUUGUAAUUUGUGCCGCUUUACAUCUUCUGUAAGAGUGACGGAACUCAGAGCUCAUGAAUACGAGACUAAUUAGAGACCACAUUGGAUGACACUGGACCCAGAAGCAGCCACCCCAGCCCCGCUCCCCACAUGAAGCAGCUUGGUCUUGCCCCAUCCUCCACUGACCAUCUCUCAGCCAGCAGCAGUCUGUGUCAGGAAGGCAGGCCCCUCUCUGCCUCAUGUUAUUUGUGAUCCUGGAGUUGAAAAUACGGUUGUGGACCGUUUAGGCUUUUGAGUUGGAUCAUUUCACCCAUCUCCCCCCAUAGGCAGGAGCGGUCAAGGCAUAUGUGGUCCUGCGGGGUUAACAUAGGAAGCAUGGGCCCAGGCAGCAGCUAUAGCUCUUGCCAGCCUUGCAAGGAGGCCACAUAUGCUCACAUAGUCAUGACUAAUGCUCUGGGGAUAACAGCUUACUGAGCCUCUAGAGUGGUUAGGUUCCUGAGGUAAGGGCUUUUAAAAUGACACUGGCCAGACAAACGAGGCUAUAAAGUGACAGAGUGUGUCUAGGACAGGGUGCCCAGUGAAGGCUUCUGUGAAGGCGUCCCUUUCUUUCUAAAACCAGUCCUUUCCUUUGACAUCUCGUGACACACUGUAACUUAGAGACUUCAUUUAUGGCAUCUGGGUUUUGAUGCAUGUACACCCUUGCCUCCGCUUCAGACCCUGGUGAACCUCUGCAGCCGGUCUCCGUGUAAAAACAAAGGAACUUGUGUUCAGGAAAAGGCAAGGCCCCACUGUCUGUGUCCGCCUGGAUGGGAUGGUGCAUACUGUGAUGUGCUCAACGUGUCCUGUAAGGCGGCAGCCUUGCAGAAAGGUGAGCUCUGCCCCAAGCAUCAGGUACUGACAUAUAGGCCAUCAUCUUAGGGCACAGUACUGAAAGGACAAGGGUCUGAAGAAAGGCUAGAGGAACAUUUAGAGAUCCCAAAGAGAAAGGUGGUUGAAAUGAAGAACUAGACACAGAUGAAGCAAACCCUAGAGCAGCCACCAGCCAGGCUCACUUGCUUUUGGGUUGAACCUGCCGUGGGCCGCACUCUCUGAUGCUUCUCUCUCCACCUGGUGCCCAGGAGUACCUGUUGAACACUUGUGCCAGCACUCGGGCAUCUGUAUCAAUGCUGGCAACACCCAUCACUGCCAGUGCCCCCUGGGCUACACGGGGAGCUACUGCGAGGAGCAGCUUGAUGAGUGUGCAUCCAAUCCAUGCCAGCACGGUGCCACCUGCAAUGACUUCAUCGGAGGAUACAGAUGUGAGGUGAGGAGAUGGCUUAGCCCAGAGGGCUCCAAUGACGUAGUGCCGGUGUUAAAAACACUGGCUACUGAGUUCAUCCGUCUGUGUCCUACAGAGUAUGAAUGUCUACUCGUCCUUAUCAUAGUGUUUGCAGCCAGCAUUUUUAUUUUCAGCCAUGCUUUCCCAUAGCUCUGGUAAGAUGUCUUCAUAGAGUCUGGACCAUCCCUCCUUAACUGGCUUGCUCUUUGUGUUGGCAUCCUGCAGGCUCACCUAGUACAGUAGUCCCCUUGCUUCCUGAAGAGCAACACAGUUCAUCAGCCAAUGAGUAAUUCUCUCACACC